CACACUAGGCGAACAAUUAAACGACCCAAUUUUGUGAAAAAGCUCAACAGCUUUAUCAACUAACUGGGCUCUCCCAUAGUGUUGAAUUAACCCAAUAAAAAGUGUUUCUCUACAUCGAAUAUGAUGAGUUUGGAGAUAUCCAAGAAGGGUUUCAACAACUUCAAAAUUUCGAGACUUUGCGAGCUUAUAAACAAGACAAGAAUAAGUUGG
rnacentral:misc_RNA from 1 species